CACCUCUAGCAUUACUAGUAUUAGAGGCACUGCCUGCCCAGUGACAUUAGUUAAACGGCCGCGGUAUCCUGACCGUGCAAAGGUAGCAUAAUCAUUUGUUCUUUAAAUAGGGACUUGUAUGAACGGCCACACGAGGGUUCUACUGUCUCUUGCUUCCAAUCAGUGAAAUUGACCUCCCCGUGCAGAGGCGGGGAUACACAAAUAAGACGAGAAGACCCUAUGGAGCUUUAAUUAACUAACUCAAAGAAAAUAUAAAUAACCGCCAAGGGAUAAUAAUCUUCUACCUGAGUUAGCAAUUUCGGUUGGGGUGACCUCGGAGAACAGAAAAACCUCCGAGUGACUAAAAUCUAGACUUACCAGUCAAAAUGUAGUGUCACUUAUUGAUCCAAAAUAUUUGAUCAACGGAACAAGUUACCCUAGGGAUAACAGCGCAAUCCUAUUCAAGAGUUCAUAUCGACAAUAGGGUUUACGACCUCGAUGUUGGAUCAGGACACCCCAAUGGUGCAGCCGCUAUUAAAGGUUCGUUUGUUCAACGAUUAAAGUCCU
rnacentral:rRNA from 1 species